GACGAACGCUGGCGGCGUGCUUAACACAUGCCAGUCGAACGGAAAGGCCCUGCUUUUGUGGGGUGCUCGAGUGGCGAACGGGUGAGUAACACGUGAGUAACCUGCCCUUGACUUUGGGAUAACUUCAGGAAACUGGGGCUAAUACCGGAUAGGAGCUCCUGCUGCAUGGUGGGGGUUGGAAAGUUUCGGCGGUUGGGGAUGGACUCGCGGCUUAUCAGCUUGUUGGUGGGGUAGUGGCUUACCAAGGCUUUGACGGGUAGCCGGCCUGAGAGGGUGACCGGCCACAUUGGGACUGAGAUACGGCCCAGACUACAACGGGAGGCAGCAGUGGGGAAUAGUGCACAAUGGGCGGAAGCCUGAUGCAGCAACGCAGCGUGCGGGAUGACGGCCUUCGGGUUGUAAACCGCUUUCGCCUGUGACGAAGCGUGAGUGACGGUAAUGGGUAAAGAAGCACCGGCUAACUACGUG
rnacentral:rRNA from 1 species